AAAAAUGUAGCUCAGUGGGAGAGCAUUUGCCUAACAAGUAGGAGGCCCUAGGUUCAAUCCCCAGCUGAUUAA
rnacentral:tRNA from 1 species